rnacentral:rRNA from 1 species
CACCAGCGCCACGAGUGGCUAUCACGAUUAUUGGGCCUAAAGCGUCCGUGGUCUGACUUGUGCAUCUUCUGUGAAAUUGCAGCGCUUAACGUUGCAGCAUGCGGAAGACACGGCAAGUCUUGAGACCGGGAGGCGUCAUAGGUAUUCUUAGGGGACCGGUAAAAUGGUAUAAUCCUAAGAGGACCACCUGUGGUGAAGACGGUGAGCUGGGCAGUAGCUGACACUGAGGCGCGACAGCGUGGGGAGCAAACAGG